rnacentral:rRNA from 1 species
UACAGAGGUCUCAAGCGUUGUUCGGAUUCAUUGGGCGUAAAGGGUGCGUAGGCGGCGCGUUAAGUCGGGUGUGAAAUCUCGGAGCUUAACUCCGAAACUGCAUUCGAUACUGCCGUGCUUGAGGACUGGAGAGGAGACUGGAAUUUACGGUGUAGCGGUGAAAUGCGUAGAUAUCGUAAGGAAGACCAGUGGCGAAGGCGGGUCUCUGGACAGUUCCUGACACUGAGGCACGAAGGCCAGGGGAGCAAACGGG